AAAGGAAAGGGGAAAGAAAAAUAAAAGGAAAACUAGGGAUUUGAAGCUUGAAGUUUAAUAGCUAAUAUCGAGACUGAAGCAUCGGCCCAAAAAGGAAAAGAAAAGAUCGUCGAGGAUUAAAUCCGAAGAGAAUUCCGGUUUGUAUUACUAUAAUUCAAAUAUAUUUAUUAUUAAUUGUUAUAUUUUAAUUAAAAUGCAUGGUAAGUAGAAUUAGGUAAGCAAUUGAAAUGAUAGUAGUGAUUUGAAUUGAAUUAAAUUGAAUUGAAUGAUGGAAGUAUGUGAGUAGUUGAAAUGUAUAUUGAUGGAAAAGUAAUUAGUGAUUUGAAUUUGGUUGGAAAAUAAAUUUAAAAUAUGAAUUAAAUAAAGUGAAUUAAUUUAUGAAUAUGUGUGAAUAUGUGAAUUGUGUAUUGAUUGAAAAGUGGUUUGAAUUGAAUCAAAAAUAUGAUUAUAUGUGAUUAUUUGAAAUAUGUAUUGGUAUUAAAUUGUUGAUUGAUUAGAAAGUGGAAAAGUGAUCUUGAAUUGGAAAUGAAAGUGAAUUGAGAAUUUGAAUACCCUAUUAAUUAGUCGGGCUAAGUCGGAUAUAGUUGCCAUGCCAUAGGAUUUGGAAGAGUACGGGAUUUAUCGGCUUUGCCGAUCAGGCACUUUAUGUGUCGUACAUCAGGCACUUUAUGUGUCGUAUCAGACACCUCGUGUGUCGUUUCAAGCACUUAUGUGUCGUUUACUGAUCAAGUACUAUGUACCGUUUUAGGCACAAUGUACCGUACUGGUGUGUUUGGGUUGGAAUCCGUGUAUCUGUCAAAGUCCAGAUUGUUAAUAGGGUUGAAAAAUGGGUCAGAGUCUCAGUCCAGCAUAAGAAUGAUUAUGGUUAUUUUGGUAUGUUAUAUAAUUUUGUUGUAAAGAAAGGUAUUUGAUGGUUUGAUGAUUAUAAUAGUAAAAUGGUAGAAGUUAUUUAUAGCAUUGGUAUUAAGUGGAAAUGACUUGAUUAGUUUUAUGAAUUAAUUAGAAAUGAUAAUAGGGUAUUUAUUAAUUAAGUUGUUAUGUCAAGUAUAAUUUAAGUAUAUAAAUGUAUUGGUUAAAUUACUGGGAUUGGUUUGGUUGCGAUUUGAAAUUUGCAGGGGUUUUUAUGUAAAAAUAAGCAGAAAUGCUACUGAAAUUUAUAAAAAAUAAAAAAUAAUAAAAAAAGAGAAUGAAGUCAAUUGUUAAAAUUUAUAUGAAUUAUGAUUUAUUUUAAUAUGUUGGUUAUUUAUUUAAGAAUUAUUUGUAAAUUAUUUGAUAUGUCCGAUAAUGCCUCGUAACCCUGUUUCGGCGACGGUUUGGGGUUAAGGGGUGUUACAGGACAUCUUUGAUAUGAAUGCAUAAGUAAAUAGUGGAAUUAUAGAUAAUGUUACAUAUAAGUACGUUAUAUGCUAAAAGCUAAAGAUUCUAACAAAUAUAUACAUAAAGGAUGUGGAAUGAGGAGGAGGAGGAGGAUGAGGAAAAAUAUAUGAAUAUAUAUAUGUAUAGUAGAUGAAUUUGAAAUGUUUUGAAAUGGCAUGUAGGUGAUGGAA